rnacentral:sRNA from 1 species
AUAUCUCUCUGUACGGGAAGGAUGAGAAGCUUCGACUAAGGUUCGAUUCGAGCGUCAGCGAGAAAGCGUUGCCGCAGGCAACGACCCGAAGGGCGAAGCGCGCAGCGCUGAGUCAUCCUUC